rnacentral:rRNA from 1 species
CAGCAGCCACGGGAAUACGAAGGGUGCAAGCGUUAAUCGGAAUUACUGGGCGUAAAGCGUGCGUAGGCGGUGAGUUAAGUCUGCUGUGAAAUCCCCGGGCUCAACCUGGGAAUGGCAGUGGAUACUGGCUCGCUAGAGUGUGUCAGAGGAUGGUGGAAUUCCCGGUGUAGCGGUGAAAUGCGUAGAGAUCGGGAGGAACAUCAGUGGCGAAGGCGGCCAUCUGGGACAACACUGACGCUGAGGCACGAAAGCGUGGGGAGCAAACAGGAUUAGAUACCCCCGUAGUCCCUGUCUCUUAUAA